rnacentral:rRNA from 1 species
GUGGGGAAUCUUGCGCAAUGGGCGAAAGCCUGACGCAGCCAUGCCGCGUGGAUGAUGAAGGUCUUAGGAUUGUAAAAUCCUUUCACCGGUGAAGAUAAUGACUGUAGCCGGAGAAGAAGCCCCGGCUAACUUCGUGCCAGCAGCCGCGGUAAUACGAAGGGGGCUAGCGUUGCUCGGAAUUACUGGGCGUAAAGGGGGCGUAGGCGGACAUUUAAGUCAGGGGUGAAAUCCCGAGGCUCAACCUCGGAACUGCCUUUGAUACUGGGUGUCUUGAGUGUGAGAGAGGUGAGUGGAACUCCGAGUGUAGAGGUGAAAUUCGUAGAUAUUCGGAAGAACACCAGUGGCGAAGGCGACUCACUGGCUCAUUACUGACGCUGAGGCUCGAAAGCGUGGGGAGCAAACAGGAUUAGAUACCCGAGUAGUCC